GUACUCAUCUCAGCAACACAUAUACUAAAAAUUGGAACAAUACAGAGAUUAGCAUGGCCCCUAUACAGACGAUGCACAAAUUCAUGAAGCAUUCCAUAUUUUA
ensembl:snRNA U6 U6 spliceosomal RNA